GGUUGAUUCUGCCUGACCUGGAUGCUAGUCUCAUAGAUUUAGCCAUGCAUGUGUAAGCGAAGCGAUUAGCGGAGCGGCGGAAGGCUCAGUAACGGGCGACUAUUUGAUCUCCAGAACCGGACAACCUCAGGAAACAGAGGGGAAAACGGAGUAAGAGCGUGUUCAGCACGUGAUGAGAACGUAAGUGCAGGAGAGUAAGAAGCCAUCCCAUCAGUUAGUAAGUAGGGUAAGGGCCUAUUUAGACGAAGACGGGUACGGGGGAUUAGGGUUUGAUUCCGGAGAGGGAGCCUGAGAGACGGCUACCAGGUCCAAGGACAGCAGCAGGCGCGAAAAUUACCGAAGCCUCCACGAGGGCGGUAGUGAAGAGACGUAAAUCUAAGUGUGUGUAAAAAGCACACGGGUAACUGGAGGUCAAGGCUGGUGCCAGCAUCCGCGGUAAUACCAGCUCCAGGAGUGUCUAUGAUGAUUGCUGCGAUUAAAAGGUCCGUAGUCUGCGAACAGUACUUGUUUGUAAUGCGGUUAAUCAACGACCGAAUAGAACAGAGAAGAGUUCAGAGUAGGAGCGAAGGAGGGCUAGAUUAUUGAGCAGCGAGAGGUGAAAUUUGAUGACCUGCUUAGGAGUAACAGAGGCGAAAGCGCUAGUCAAGAGCGAAUCCGGUGAUCAAGGACGUAGGCUGGAGGAUCGAAGACGAUUAGAGACCGUAGUAGUUCCAGCAGUAAACGAUGCCGACACUGUUGUGGAAGAUGCACGACAGAAGAGAAUCUAGUAGGGCUUUGGGGAGAGUACGCGCGCAAGCGAUAAAUUUAAAGGAAAUUGACGGAAGAACACCACAAGGAGUGGAGUGUGCGGCUUAAUUUGACUCAACGCGGGACAGCUUACCAUACCCGAUGACAGUGUGAGCGUAGUACGCGAUAGGUCAAAGAGUGGUGCAUGGCCGUUAACGACGAGUGGGGUGACCUUUGGGUUAAGUCCGCGAAGUAGUGAGAUCCCUAGGAUAGCUUCGGCUUAUCGACAGGUGUUAAAAACACAGGAAGGAAGGGGCAAGAACAGGUCAGUGAUGCCCUUAGAUGGUAUGGGCUGCACGCGCACUACAGUGGUCACAGCAAGAGUUAGUAGAAGUAAAUGUGAUCGAGAGGGAACGAGAGGGAAUGAGCACUGCAAUGUGCACAGGAACGAGGAAUUGCUAGUAAUCGUUAUCUCAUUAAGAAGCGAUGAAUGUGUCCCUG
rnacentral:rRNA from 1 species